GUCUUGGUGAUGUAGUGAUUAAAACACGCGUCCCCGGAUAGGAUGAAACGCGGGUUCGAUUCCCGCCUGAGGCC